UUCAUAUUCAUGAUCUAUGGAACAAGUAUUAAUGUAUGUACGUACAGAAUAGAUUGAUAUCGUAAAUUGGGGCUACAUUGCUCAAGAAAUGAAAAAGUUUCAAAGCCCUCAGGAGGGAAAUCUUCAACUAAAAUCAAAAGCUACAGCUUUAAAUAACAGGUGGCAUCACUGUUUUCCUUCCAGUACUUUGAGGCUAGGUGUCCAUGGACGAUUUUUCGAUCGGCCGAUUUUACUUGGCCGAUACUUCAGCUUUGAGCUGACGUGAAUCGGCCAAUAGCUGUGUGCGUGCAUGGCCGAUAUAUCAUCGGUCAACAGCUGAUAUAAACAUGGACUUCGAAAUGGUUGUGGGUGUUUGUGUUCUUCUUUUAAAAUGUAGACAGAAGAAAAAGCGGCCAAAAUAUUGGGUGCAUCAAGUUAUUAGUGCAAGACGAGUAAAGGGACAAUUUAAUAGGUCAUAUGAAGAAUUGAGAUCACACCCUUCAAAAUUUUAGGAGUACACUAGAAUGUCUGUCAACAGUUUUGAUACAUUGCUUGAUAUUAUUUCAUCCCACAUUACGAAUCAGAAUGUUGUUCAUGAUAGUAUUUCAAGUACGGAAAGGCUUUUAGUUACUUUCAGGAAUUUCAUCUUAACAUUUAAUUUCUGCCUGUGAUUGAGUCUUCUAAGGGACGGCACGAGGGAAAGUAAUAUUUGUCAACAGGAAACAGCUUCCAGUCAUUACACUUCGAAUAUUUACUUGGUGCUACGACUGUCAGAGAAGUAGUGAGUGACACAUGUGGUAAGUUAUGGAAAUACCUCCGACCUAUUUAUAUGCCGGAAAAGACUACUGAAGAUUGGCUAAAUGUAGCACAAGGAUUUUAUGAAGGAACGCAUUUCCCAAAUUGUUUGGGAGCCAUUGACGGAAAACACAUACGUUUAAAGAAAUCAAACGUCAGUGGUUCACUGUAUUCUAAUUAUAAACAAUUUUGUUCAAUGAUACUAAUGGCGAUUGCGGACAGUAAUUAUUUGUUUCUCCAUGGUCGACAUAGGAGCUUAUGGCAGUUGCAGUGACUCCCAAAUAUUUAAAAAUAUAACUUUUUGGAGACGACUGUUCCAGAAAGAACUCAGUUACCAGACGACACAAAUGGAACAGCAGUGCCAUAUGUUUUUCCUGCUGAUAAGGCAUUUACAUUGUCAGAAUACGUGUUAAGGCCAUAUGCAAAAGAAAUUUGACACAUCUGAAGCGAAUCCUUAAUUAUAGACUAUGUACAGCUCGUAGAAUGGUAGAGUGUGCUUUUGGUAUUCUCUCAAAUAAGCGGAGGAUAUUACAUCGACCUCGACACAAAUCCUGAGUUUUGUGAAAGCACUUGAAAACAUUUUGUGUACUUCAUAAUUUUGUCAGGCAGCAUGAUGGCAAACAACUUGAAGACAAGGAUAAUAGUCCUGCAGAUUAGUAUUUUUUGGAUAUUUCAGCAACAAAUGAAUGUGCUACACAAGUGGCGCAAGAUAAUCGGAACUCUCAACAUUCCUGGGGAUAAAGGUCACAUGAAAAGUAGAAAGACACCAGUCUCAACUGGAAAAAGUGUCCCCCUUGCAAUUACUACCAGUAGCAGAAUAGAGGAGAAUGUGGGUGUUACAGCAGAAACCGCUUCACAAACACCUAGACACCAAUCAGGAAAACGUAAAAGAAAACAAAUUUGGUAUUCUAAGAGAAGUGAAGAUCUUUAUACACAAGACUCUUCUGGCGAAGAAUCCUGGGAGUCUUACAGGAAGAGAUGUCUUCAGGAAGUAGAGUAUGAAGAAGAUAAGGAAAACUUACAAAACUCUCAAGGACCACAAAUUAAACCAGUGAAGAGAAAAGUUGGGGUUUUGUGAUCGUUCAUUAUGAUGAUCAUCUGUAUCCAGGUGCUACUCAAAAUUUUAAUGAGGCUGGUGCUACGACUAAGCCAAAAAAGUCGUGGAAAUGGCCAUCAAAACCAGAUUAACUCUUUUAUGAAUGUAAAGAUAUUGUAGGAGGCAUAGAUCCACCAGAUGUGGUGAAUAAAAGGGGCUUUUUCCAAAUUCCUGAACUGAGUGGCGUUGAGUGACAAUGCUGAAUUAUGUGGUAAUUAGGUUAUGGUACCUAGAUUAUAUAAAGAUGAUGUAUUUUUGGUGAAUAUGGUAUAUCCAAGAAAAUCUAAGAAUAAUUUUGUAAUUUUGAAAAAUAAAUACUGUAUUUUUA